rnacentral:rRNA from 1 species
CUACGGGUGGCUGCAGUGGGGAAUAUUGGACAAUGGGGGAAACCCUGAUCCAGCAAUGCCGCGUGUGUGAAGAAGGCCUGCGGGUUGUAAAGCACUUUCGGUUGGGAGGACUGCUUCUAGCACUAAUAUUGUUGGAAGUUGACGUUACCUUCAGAAGAAGCACCGGCUAACUCCGUGCCAGCAGCCGCGGUAAUACGGAGGGUGCAAGGUAAUCGGAAUUACUGGGCGUAAAGCGCGCGUAGGCGGCUAGAUCAGUCGGGUGUGAAAGCCCCGGGCUUAACCUGGGAACUGCAUCCGAUACUGUCUAGCUUGAGUACAGGAGAGGAGAGUGGAAUUCCACAUGUAGCGGUGAUAUGCGUAGAUAUGUGGAGGAACACCAAUGGCGAAGGCAGCUCUCUGGCCUGAUACUGACGCUGAGGUGCGAAAGCGUGGGGAGCAAACAGGAUUAGAUACCCGCGUAGUC